rnacentral:lncRNA from 1 species
AUUAUAAUUUUUCCCAAUUUGUCGCCUUAUAAUUCUAUUUUUAAAGAAAACUCUCCGAUUCACCAUGAUUGUAAUAAGCCCACUAAAAAAUUAAUUUCAUUCCGAAGAAAACAACCAAAAUUGAAAACAGUACGCGUUAUACAUAAAUAAAAAAAAAAAAAAAAGGAAAAGAAGAAUAUAUUGCACAGGGUGCUGGUGUAACUCUAAAUUAUAUAGGGUCCAAAUUUAGCCAUAAAUGUAAGGAAAAUUUCAUGAAAAGAACUUGAGCUAAGUUUAUUUUAAUAAAAAAUCAUGCUAAAUUUUAUUUAAUUAAAAAGACUUAAAUUUUAAUUAAAAACCUUCAAAUUUUAAUAAAAAUGACAAAAGAACUUAAAUUUUAAUAAAAAAGACAAAAUUUUAAUAUUAAAAACAAAUUUGAAGAAACAAAUCUGAGGCGCGAACCCACACGUCCUCAUACAGAUUGUUUAUGAAACUUUCUACACUGUUUAAGAAACUUACUACAUUGUUUAUGAAACUUUUGACACUGUUUAUGAAACUGACUGCACUGUUUAUGAAAACUUAUGACACUAUUUAUGAAACUUACUACACUGUUUAUGAAACUUAACGGUACUACAUUGUUUAUGAAAUUUAACGAUGCUACACUGUUUAUGAAACUUAACAGUACUACAUUCUUCUCUCUCAUCUUCAUGAAUUUUCUUGGCACAUUCUCACCUUCCAAACUCAUUUUCUUCGAUACUCUUUAAAUUUUAUUUGUAUCUCUUCAAUUUCUUAACUUUCUACACCAAUUACUUAAUUUUGUUCUAUUGUCCAAUCAUCUGCGGCUUCCUCUUCUUCUCCACCUACAAUCUUAACUUUCUACACCACGUGUUAUUAUGUAAGCGGUGGACAAUUUUAUUUUUUAACACAAGAAUCUCACCACUUGUAUUGACACAGUUUGACUCAGAAUGUCCACCUGGACUUCAAAUCGAGCUGUGCUGGUCGGCACUAGGAGGGUGACGAAUCCAUAAAGUGUAGUGAUGUGGAAAAUGUGAGUUAAUUUAAGUCUAAAGCGAGAAUGAACCAGUUUCACACGUGAUGUUAGAGCAUAAGUAAAGUACAGUAAAAUUAGAAUAAGAAUUAUACCAUUAGGAGUAGUCUUCGAUAUCAGCAUUAGCCAUAAAUCCUCUUCGACACAAACACUGCCACUAAAUCCUAGAAGGGUGAAAAACAAGGGUGAGUACGCCUAAAAAUAAAGUUUUGUAAACAUAUUUUUAAAAUGUUAUAACCCCUUGCCAUAAAACAAGUAUAGUUUCCAAAAUAUACAUACUACGUAUAGUAUGAAAUUGCUUACAAUAACCUGCAAUAUCUCAAGAAUUCAAUACGUCACAAUAUUUUGUAAAUACACAUCUAACGUCUGGUAAUCACAUAAUCUCGCAUACACAAACAUAUCAUAUCAAGUGCUCAUCGACAUAUGCUGACACAGGAGUUCAUGUAGAGAUAUUUUGACAUGAACAUGACUAGGUGUCAUAAUGAUAUACGCUCUAGUACUACAAUCACGCGAAGAUUGGCACUAUGUGCAUCACAUACGAAUCCUAAUUGCCUACAACAAUCUAGGACAGGACUGACACCUACAAUGGAUCCAAAGUGAGCGUAUAGUACGAUGUGAACAUACAUGUGAAAGAUUGGCCUUGGCCUGGGCUAGUACUAACACAGAUGCAACAAUGAUGAUCAGAUAAUAUAAACAUAAUCAUAGAGCGGUAAAUCAAUAAUUUAUGUCAACAUAAUACUAUUCACUGUCAUAAUAUAUAAAUAAGGCAUCUCGUAAAAUAUGCAUACCUGUGCAUCAUGUAGGAUUCAUAAUAAUCUCACAAUUUCAAUCAUCGCGACAAUUCUUAUAACAUCAAUUUAAUUAUGGCAUCACUUAGAAAAUGCAUUAUCAAUCUAUGUAUGGAAACUCAAAUAAUAUACACACACACACACACACACGCACACACAUACACUAUAUAAAAGAAAAGACUCACUCAUAGAUAUUUGCAAGGUCCCAGCUGUUCAA